UCCACCAUUGUCUACGACCAUAUAAGUUUGAUAGUUCCCCUCCUCCCUACUUCUCAAAUUAAAAUUCAGGCAUGUCAAUUUCUCACUAUGGUUACAGCAAGAAUUGCCUGUAUAUUUGGCCAAUUUACGGUGCACCAAAGUAAUGGGGAGCUUACAAGCAUUUGUAUUGUUUUGCUGUCAUACUUGAAGCUCCAUUUCAGAUUAUUGAUCUUUGCAUAUCAGUUAUGUGUUUAUAAUAUUGCACCAGAACCAUAGAAGCAUUUUUCUCUCAUUCUUUGGUUAUCUAUUUUCUCUUCAAAUUCUAGACCUCCAGCUCAGAUCAUGAUCCUUGCAUGUAUUUCUUUCAUAACUUCUCAAAUGGGUUAAUCUUGCAAUGAAGAAACACAUGCUUAAGAAAUAUGGGAGGGAAUGUCACAGGUAUGGUGAGUCAGCAGAUGAUUCCGUGUAUCAUUUCAAAGCAACGGUGAAUAUGAUUAGCUCUUUCUAUCUAAAAGAGAUAAUUAGGUUCAUGUUUGUACACACACAUUGAUACAAAUAUCACAAUAGUUAGCAUCUUCUUUUGUUGUAUUUAUGUCUUUGGUCACUAAUUUGACUUAACUACUCAGCAUGGUCUACAUCUUAGCAGGUUACAGAUUAGCCACCAGACGCAGUAUUGACGGUUCAACAUGCUUCAUAAAAUCUGCUUGCCAGUGCAACCUAAUGCAUAAUCCAUUAGUUUCGACCCUGGACUGCAUAGUAUUGCUGCUCCUCAGAGUGGAUUCAUGGAUUCAGAGAAAACGAAUUUGCCUUUGGUCAGAUAUAUCAAAGUACCGAAGGACUUGGGUUAUUCAGUGACACGCCCUUCAUGUGUGGGCGCUCUCUUUUGCUACCCACACAGAUGCUCUGCUCUGCAUCGCAAGCAGCCAGGGAGCAACAUUUUAAUCACAGCAAAAAAAGAGUAUAUUAAUCAUACAAAUUUAUCAGAAAUGUGAUGGUUUGCCUACAAGCUCAUCAUUCUUUUUUGUGACCUCAGGUUUUGAGUAGAGGACAGGACAAGGUCCACACGGAUAUGAUUACCAUGUUGGAUUGAAGAGCAUUAGGGGUGAAGAGUUAAGAUGCCAUAAAUCUGUUGAUUACAAGUAGGCUCGGUCCGUAUCUCCGACGUCAUCUGCUCCAACAAUACUCCUUGAUUUGCAUCAGGUGUUGUGCUUCGUCCAUGCUAUUUCCUUACCCCGGUUCUAAUUUCUCCUUAAAUAAUACUGCUCAAGUGCGGCAAAUCCGCUUGGGCCGGCUCAAGUGGGCAGCCCGUAGAGGAAUGAGGUAGACUUGCGCAAUGGAGUCAUCAUGCCGGCUCGAUGAAUUACAUUUCGUUCACUCAGCUACACCCUCACAGGAGAAAAAGCCAGGGUGGUUUAAGACAUGCAUCAGAUAAUGUUUCUCAGUGAGGUAUGUUGCUGUGAUUUUUAACUAGAUUCAGGAUUUUGUCCAAGAUUGCUUCUGAAAUCAACUAAAUGUCAACUAAAUGUCUUCCUUCUGAAAAUCAUUUGUAAGUUUUGAAAUGUUGUUGUGUACAUAUUUGUUGAGGAGACUGGCGAGGACAACAGGCCGAGAAUAGGAGUUGUUCAGGUGUUGAUUGUAUGCUGGAGAAGGCACGGGAGGGAACAGUGACAUAAGCAUUGGUGCUGCAACAACGAGUGUUGUUGUGGUCAUUAUGUGGUCAAUGACAUCGAGCCACAAAGAGCUCAUUCCCUUUUGGCUCCAGUUUAUGUAUGUUGAUUCUUCUAUUAAUAAUUUGUGUUAGGAAGAGUGUCUUGUGAUGUUACUUAAACCUAUUAUGAUUUUGGGUGUGUACCUGAAGGAACUGCACGAAUAUGGUUUUAGGCUUUCAGAUUUGGACUUAGAGAGGACUUGCAUUGAUUUUCUACUGUAGUGAUUGCUAUAAUGGGAUAUCACAAAUAAUCGA